rnacentral:rRNA from 1 species
CCUACGGGAGGCAGCAGUGAGGAAUAUUGGUCAAUGGGAGGAAUCCUGAACCAGCCAUGCCGCGUGCAGGACGACGGCUCUACGAGUUGUAAACUGCUUUUGUACCGGGGUAAAAUGCACUACGAGUAGGGUUUUGAAAGGACGGUACGAAUAAGGAACGGCUAAACCCGUGCCAGCAGCCGCGGUAAUACGGAGGAGCAGAGCGUUAUCCGGAUUCAUUGGGUUAAAGAGGGCGUAGGUUGUUUGAUAAGUUAGCGGUGAAAUACCGAUGGUCAACAUCUGGGCUGCCGCUAAUACUGUAGGACUAGAGAUCGGAUGCAGCAGGCGGAAUGUGUAGUGUAGCGGUGAAAUGCAUAGAGAUCACACAGAACACCGAUUGCGAAGGCAGCUUGCUAGGCCGGAUCUGACACUGAUGCACGAAAGCGUGGGGAUCGAACAGGAUUAGAUACCCCAGUAGUC